rnacentral:rRNA from 1 species
GUGGGGAAUAUUGGACAAUGGGCGAAAGCCUGAUCCAGCCAUGCCGCGUGUGUGAAGAAGGUCUUCGGAUUGUAAAGCACUUUAAGUUGAGAGGAAGGGCAGUAAGUUAAUACCUUGCUGUUUUGACGUUACCAACAGAAUAAGCACCGGCUAACUUCGUGCCAGCAGCCGCGGUAAUACGAAGGGUGCAAGCGUUAAUCGGAAUUACUGGGCGUAAAGCGCGCGUAGGUGGUUCAGCAAGUUGAAGGUGAAAUCCCCGGGCUCAACCUGGGAACUGCCUCCAAAACUACUGAGCUAGAGUACGGUAGAGGGUAGUGGAAUUUCCUGUGUAGCGGUGAAAUGCGUAGAUAUAGGAAGGAACACCAGUGGCGAAGGCGACUACCUGGACUGAUACUGACACUGAGGUGCGAAAGCGUGGGGAGCAAACAGGAUUAGAUACCCGGGUAGUCC